GGGGGGGGCCUUCGGGAGGCAGCAGUGGGGAAUAUUGCACAAUGGGCGCAAGCCUGAUGCAGCAACGCCGCGUGAGGGACGACGGCCUUCGGGUUGUAAACCUCUUUUAGCAGGGAAGAAGCGAGAGUGACGGUACCUGCAGAAAAAGCACCGGCUAACUACGUGCCAGCAGCCGCGGUAAUACGUAGGGUGCAAGCGUUGUCCGGAAUUAUUGGGCGUAAAGAGCUCGUAGGCGGUUUGUCGCGUCUGCUGUGAAAUCCCGAGGCUCAACCUCGGGCUUGCAGUGGGUACGGGCAGACUAGAGUGCGGUAGGGGAGAUUGGAAUUCCUGGUGUAGCGGUGGAAUGCGCAGAUAUCAGGAGGAACACCGAUGGCGAAGGCAGAUCUCUGGGCCGUAACUGACGCUGAGGAGCGAAAGCAUGGGGAGCAAACAGGCUUAGAUACCCUGGUAGUCCAUGCCGUAAACGUUGGGAACUAGAUGUGGGGACCAUUCCACGGUCUCCGUGUCGUAGCUAACGCAUUAAGUCCCCGCCUGGGGAGAGU
rnacentral:rRNA from 1 species